UGUUGCUCCACACUUCCACGUCCAUCGCCUGAAGUCCCCAGGACCCUUGGCGAUUGCUGCUAACUAGCUAGCUGACCCGAAAUGCCCCAAAAAAGGCAAAACUAAAAACCAUGGAAAACAACAUCACUUUGUAUCCUGAAAAACACACCGCGGGCAGCACUCAGACCACCCGCUGCAGCAAUUCGAACGACACCGGCCUCCUAGUAUCCACUGACACUUUACCCCUCCUGAAACCUUUCAGUGCCUGUCUAACCAGAAAAUGUUUGGUAGCAUCCUCCCACCCGUUAAAUUUGAAC